rnacentral:tRNA from 1 species
GCGCCAUUAGCUCAGCGGAUUAGAGCGUCUGCCUCCGGAGCAGAAGGCCGCUGGUUCGAGUCCAGCAUGGCGCACCA